UACUUGGUCAUAGCUCAGUAGUAGAGCAUCUGCUUUGCAUGCAGAAGGUCCCAGGCGCAAUCUCUGGCAUCUCCAAGUAG